rnacentral:lncRNA from 1 species
GACACUGGUGAUUCCAUAUUCAUAGAGCAUAUUCAGGAUCUGUCAUACAGAAAACUACCAUACACACAUUUUCUUUUGGUCCCUUUGUCAUUUAACUUUUGGCUCUGUUGCCUGUUUAACAGUCACUCUCACCUCUAUUCCUUUCCAUUUUAGGUGAAAGAAAUCUUUUUACCAGAUACUGAUGAGUGGCUGCCGUAAUUAAUAAGUGACUAUACCUCAUGAUCCUCCUCCUACUACAAGGAUAUACUCGAGGCAUGAGCACUGCAGUAAUUUUGAAUGAAGGUGUUCACAUUAUAGUUCUUAGUAAGUACAUGUCUUCCAGAGGACACGUUCGACAAUUGUUAAAAUUAGUUCAAAAUUAGUGUUUUUCCAUGGCAUCAACAUUUGGAAAAUUCUUUCAGGUAAGCCUUUUAUUUGGAAAAUCCCCAUUCCCUCAU